rnacentral:snoRNA from 1 species
UGCAGAUGAUGCAAAAGAAUAUUUGCUAUCUGAGUGAUAGUGCUGACAUGUAUAUCCCACCAAGAUCGCUGAUGCA